UUAAAACACAAAAAUCAACCACUAAAUUGGAACCAGCAAUGUUACUAGUAAUCCUCCCUUACCCAACUGUUCUGUUCCUGUACCUCUUAACUUCCAUGCCCAUCGUUCCCAUCUCGGAAUCGUAGAGCCCAGCUGUUUUUCCUCUUCACAUCAACAAACCCACUCCAAAAAUAUCUGUUGCCUCACUCUCCACCCUACAAGCAAUUGUAAAAGCAACAACAAAGAGCAAAAAGAUUCCCAAACUAACGAUAAUAAAAGCUACCCUGAACCUGAUCAGAACCUGUCAUUUGUUGACCUAUUUCACUAUUCUUUAGACUAAUACCAGCACUAACCAAAUCCCAGAAACCAAAAACCAAGAAAUUGGAGAAAUAGGAGACACUCAAACAGGGAAUCAUAGAAGACUUUUAUCAAACAUGUGGUGGAAAGACUUGAGAGCUACUUUCAGCCAAAGAAUCAACGUUGAAGGAAUUGGUUCGUCGGCUUCCGUGCUUGUUAAGGACCAGCAUUUGGCUCUGCCUCAUGUUUUAGUGGCUGAUAUAAGGUACAUUGAUUGGGGAGAGUUGCAAAGGAGAGGCUUUAAAGGUGUGGUGUUUGAUAAGGAUAAUACUAUCACCGUGCCUUACUCUUUGACAAUUUGGGACCCUCUUCAUGCGUCCAUUGAGAGGUGUAAAUCUGUUUUUGGGAAUGAUAUCGCUGUGUUCAGUAACUCUGCUGGUCUCUUCGAGUACGAUCAUGACGAUUCAAAAGCCAGGGCACUUGAGAAGGCAAUUGGAAUUAAAGUAAUAAGGCACAGGGUAAAGAAACCUGCUGGAACAGCUGAAGAAAUUGAAAAGCACUUUGGCUGCAAAUCGUCACAGCUUGUAAUGGUGGGUGAUCGGCCCUUCACAGACAUUGUUUAUGGAAACCAAAAUGGCUUUUUGACGGUAUUAACAAAGCCACUGAGUCUUGCGGAGGAACCAUUCAUUGUUAGGCAGGUGCGGAAACUAGAAAUGUCUCUUAUGAACUAUUGGCUUAAAAGAGGAAUGAAGCCAAUCAGUCAUAAUCUACUACCAGAUGCCAUGGAAUGUGUAAAAGAUCCACCACCUUUGUAGGAAAACUUUGGUGCAAAAUCUUGUAACUACCAAUGAUUCUCAGAAACUUUGAUGGGCAUUCCAUGGGAAGGGAAUGGGAGAGGAUCCAUGGUGAUUUGCUCAUCAGGGCCGACUAAGGACCAAUUGUGAAGAAUUACAACAUAGUGGGUGAAGAUGAGGAUAUUCAACUUUGCCAGUUGGUUUCCUGCGCAAAGUCUUCGUCCUCCUCCAAAGGGAAGGUAAAGCAUAUGGUGGAAUUGGCUUCUCAAAUCUGCUUGGAUUGAAAGUUAGAGGAUCCUUGAAAUACUCUUCGUUUUAGUGGGUGCGGUAUGGUGUCCACAGAACCUGCAGAAGACAAGAUGAAAUUAGAUCUAUGAUGAAUUAUUUGUUAAGAUAUUUGAAGGCUAAUUUCCGCAUCAAGGAAGGAAGGAUUCAGAAUAGAUGCGCACCUUCCACCCUUUACGAAUAGUGAAUCCUUCGCAUUCAAUGUCAACGAUAGCAUCUCUAAAGGAGGCAAGGAUAGGUGGGAAGAGCCGCAAGCUUUAACGUGCAACUUGCCAUGUAUGUUUCAUCUUCAUGUCUUCCAAUGUUAGAUACUCUACAGGUUUCCUCUUGCUCAUUAUGUCAACAAUGUUCUGCCAAGAGUAAUAAUAUACACUGAAUUUAGUAGAA